rnacentral:lncRNA from 1 species
ACCAUCUAUGUAGCUCCUCAUAAGUUUAGAGCAUGAAUCUCUGGGGAAUAAUGUGCUCCCUCUCCAAGUCCUUUCAACAUAGAUGUUCUGACCUCAGUUGCUAAGCAUAUUUUUCAAAACAAUACUUGGCUCAACUUUGGUAUGUUAUUCUUAGUUUUCUCCAAGCUUUAUAUGCCUCUUCGGCUGUAGAACUAUUCCAGAUCAAAUUUGUGCUUCAUGCUCAAGUCUUAUAAUUUAUGACAUUUGUUUAGUGCUCCUCUGUUUGAGAAUGGAAUUUUCAAGCUUAGAAACUCAAAUCACUUGCUAUUACAAUGCUAGGCAAAUAUUUUCCAGUUCUCUAUUCCUUGAUUUUAAUUUUUAAAUCUUUCAAUUGGUGUGUGGUUGCUCAUGCGAGAAAAGCAAGAUAGUGCAUAUAAGUAGAGGUGCAACAAAACUUACACCAUCACUUCAGUUAAGAUUAAGAUGUUAGAAGCCUUUUCCUGAGCUAAAGAAAAAUACUCAAAAUAAUUAGAUGCAUAAUUUCUUUCAUUUUGCCGGAUAAUCAUGCCAGCCAACUUAACACAAAACUAACAAAAUCAUCUCUGUUGAAAUAAAUCUCAAGAAAAUCAUUAUCAAGAAAUAGAGAACUGGUAACAUUUCACGUCUGGGUUUUCUUUAAUCUGAUAUCCUAAUAAACACCGUUAAUUACAUGAAUUCUUUUGAAUGUCAUUAAUUAAGUUGUUUUCACUUCUCUUACAAUUUCUUUAUGCAGGGAGCUGUGUAGCAAUACUUUUGGGUGUGCUUUAUUUUGUUGCGAAAUUAUGUAUCAGAGAGCUAAUGCUAUAGAAAUUAUUGAAGAACUUAUGCUACGUUUCUUCAUUAGCCAUCGAACUGAAGCUAAGAUUUCAAUGAUGAUCUAAGGGUGAAAAUUAUUGGAAGAACAUCGUGCUCAUCAAUUUCUAAUUAAAAUUAUCAUUUGAUUUUUUGUGGUUUAUUAAUGUCCGGC